GCUGUUACAUUGUAGAAAUACUUUAGUUUUAUGUGAGAUAAUAAAUGCUGUGCUGUUAUUGGCUGUCAGAGGGAAGAGGAGGAGGCUCGACAGAGGCUGAUAGAAGAGCAGCAGAGGCUGGAGAGAGAGCAACGCUUCCAGAGAGAGGAGUCUGAGCGGCUGGAGAGGAAGAAGGUAUGACAGCCGAGAGCGUGAAUCAGUGCCUGCUGCUGAAUCGACUAGACGAAAUUAUGAAAAGAACACGAAAAACAGAUGCAACUGAGAAGAAACCUGCUUCCUCCAGUAUCAUAAUGAAAGACAGUCUUCCGAAUGAGAAUAUAAAGCCUAUUCACAGUCUGCCGUUAGAAGACGUUAUCAAGCUGCCCAGUCCAUCAAAGGCCUCUAAGAUAGCUCUGGAGAAUGAGGAGGACAUCCUUCCUGCAGUGGCCUUUAAAGAGCGCAGGUCCCUCCGUACUCUCACCGGCCUGGAUGAGAUCCAGGCUCAUCAGAGAGCAGAAGUCAUCUAAAGAUAAACGAUCACGCGAUCUGCAAGGAGCCUGCAAGCCUGCACUUUCUUUAUAUAAGAAAACACAUGCAGAAUUGCUUCACCUGCACUUUAAGAAACCCUCUUCAACACUCUGUUUCACACCUUCAGAAUAAUACCGAAGGAUCUGACCCCUCCUGCUCUGCUGAUUGGUGUGUUUUGAGACCACGCUGCAUGUUCAGUUCAUGCUCUGUGGGAAUAAAGCUAAGCUAACAGCGUCUCA
rnacentral:lncRNA from 1 species